rnacentral:lncRNA from 1 species
CGUCGUUUCACAAAGGAAAAAAUCUUCUAACCAGUCCAUUCAAUGCCUCAAAUUUGGAGUAUAUUCACAGGGAUGCCCUCGAGUGGGCCCUUCAUUUCAUGUGGGGGGGACAAUUUUUGAGGUGAUGAGACCAUUCUCCGAUGACUCGUUUCAUUGUAGACCCCACUUGCACGCACUACAAAUAAAUGAGGACGCUUCACUGAUUGCAAUUCACAGCACCAAGCUAUCACCUUUUGAACACACAGCUCUCUCGGAGUUUGCUGUGACUUGGUAAGAAUUCUGUUUACUAACUGGUUUUUGGUAGAUUUUUUCGAAAUCGAAUCUGUUCCUGAACUUUCUCUUUUUUCUUAACUGUUUUAAUAAAAUUCGUGCGGUUUUUUAUGAGUCUAAGCUUUUUAUAAACUGAUAAUGCGAUUUUUCUGAGUCUAAGCUUUAUAUAAACUGAUAAUUGAGCUAUUGUAGUGGAGUGUAGAUUAUCACUUAUCGGUACGUUAAUUUUUCUACUUUCCUUCCUUUUUUUUUCCUGCUGAUAAUACAUGAAUUUCCUGGUUUUGGAUGUUCCAUGCCAAUUAUUUAAUUGCAUAUUAAUUUGAAUUUUUCUCUUUCUUUAUGAGCUCUGGGCUGUUUGGUAUGAUGUCAUUAAUAUUCUGUUCCUUUGACUGAAUUAGACGUGGAAACAGAAUCUGUUAUAAUUAAUAAGUGAAGAUCAAUUUUGUAGAGUUAUGAAUUGUAAAUCUGAACAAGAAUUCUGAAUCGAGCAGGUUUAUAUUUGUAUUUGGUUUUUUCCCUUUUGUUGACUUUUAUAUGUAAAGAGAUUCUUAGUGAUUCCAACUCCAAAAGCUUUAAUGCUAGAAAGAAGCACUUUUUGUUGUUAAUACCGUUUCUACUUUGAUGCACGAAUGAUAACUGUUAAUCAGUUUUAGUAAAGCUGUAAAACCAACUUUUUGUGGUUCCUAAGUUAUUUCUAGUAAGACGUUAAAAUUAAUAUGAGUUUUGAAAAUAAAGUUAUGGUGGUGUAGAGGAAUAAAAAAAUUAAUGUGUAAAAUAUUCUUGUUUGAUGUAUGUGACAAUAUGUGGCUAUGAAACAAAUUCAGCCUUCAGGCAAGGCAUGGUUGAUUUUACUUAUUUUUUCUUUUUUCUUUUUUUGAGUCUCAAGUUUAGCUACUGGUAUUGACUAUGUGGAGUUUGAAGUUGAGUAUUUGAGCUAAAUGAGUAUGUUUGGGGAAGUAGAAACCUAUAGUUUAGUUUCUGUUGCAUUUGUCCUGAUUGCUGUUUUUCUCUUUCUUGGAUUCAGGGUGAAGUGUCGACAAUGGCAACCGUAACCACAUCACACUUUGUGUCACAUGCCCACAGUGAAGCAACUUCAGUUGGGAGUAAAUCAAGCUUGUCUCAGAUAGGCCUCAGAAACCAAAUUGUGAGUCACAAUGGGUUGAGAUCAAUGAACACGGUUGAUAUGCUCCAAUUGAGAACCAAUGCAAAAGUAACUGCAAAGCAAUCUAGGAGCAUAGUUAAAAAAAUCAGUGCUGGCAGACCGUCUGGAACCAUUAUAUGCGGGACAGGGAUGAGCUUGGUCUUUGUN